GAUGAACGCUGGCGGCGUGCCUAAUACAUGCAAGUCGAACGCACAGCGAAAGGUGCUUGCACCUUUCAAGUGAGUGGCGAACGGGUGAGUAACACGUGGACAACCUGCCUCAAGGCUGGGGAUAACAUUUGGAAACAGAUGCUAAUACCGAAUGAAACUUAGUGUCGCAUGAUACGAAGUUAAAAGGCGCUUUGGCGUCACCUAGAGAUGGAUCCGCGGUGCAUUAGUUAGUUGGUGGGGUAAAGGCCUACCAAGACAAUGAUGCAUAGCCGAGUUGAGAGACUGAUCGGCCACAUUGGGACUGAGACACGGCCCAAACUCCUACGGGAGGCUGCAGUAGGGAAUCUUCCACAAUGGGCGAAAGCCUGAUGGAGCAACGCCGCGUGUGUGAUGAAGGCUUUCGGGUCGUAAAGCACUGUUGUAUGGGAAGAACAGCUAGAAUAGGGAAUGAUUUUAGUUUGACGGUACCAUACCAGAAAGGGACGGCUAAAUACGUGCCAGCAGCCGCGGUAAUACGUAUGUCCCGAGCGUUAUCCGGAUUUAUUGGGCGUAAAGCGAGCGCAGACGGUUGAUUAAGUCUGAUGUGAAAGCCCGGAGCUCAACUCCGGAAUGGCAUUGGAAACUGGUUAACUUGAGUGCAGUAGAGGUAAGUGGAACUCCAUGUGUAGCGGUGGAAUGCGUAGAUAUAUGGAAGAACACCAGUGGCGAAGGCGGCUUACUGGACUGUAACUGACGUUGAGGCUCGAAAGUGUGGGUAGCAAACAGGAUUAGAUACCCUGGUAGUCCACACCGUAAACGAUGAACACUAGGUGUUAGGAGGUUUCCGCCUCUUAGUGCCGAAGCUAACGCAUUAAGUGUUCCGCCUGGGGAGUACGACCGCAAGGUUGAAACUCAAAGGAAUUGACGGGGACCCGCACAAGCGGUGGAGCAUGUGGUUUAAUUCGAAGCAACGCGAAGAACCUUACCAGGUCUUGACAUCCUUUGAAGCUUUUAGAGAUAGAAGUGUUCUCUUCGGAGACAAAGUGACAGGUGGUGCAUGGUCGUCGUCAGCUCGUGUCGUGAGAUGUUGGGUUAAGUCCCGCAACGAGCGCAACCCUUAUUGUUAGUUGCCAGCAUUCAGAUGGGCACUCUAGCGAGACUGCCGGUGACAAACCGGAGGAAGGCGGGGACGACGUCAGAUCAUCAUGCCCCUUAUGACCUGGGCUACACACGUGCUACAAUGGCGUAUACAACGAGUUGCCAACCCGCGAGGGUGAGCUAAUCUCUUAAAGUACGUCUCAGUUCGGAUUGUAGUCUGCAACUCGACUACAUGAAGUCGGAAUCGCUAGUAAUCGCGGAUCAGCACGCCGCGGUGAAUACGUUCCCGGGUCUUGUACACACCGCCCGUCACACCAUGGGAGUUUGUAAUGCCCAAAGCCGGUGGCCUAACCUUUUAGGAAGGAGCCGUCUAAGGCAGGACAGAUGACUGGGGUGAAGUCGUAACAAGGUAGCCGUAGGAGAACC
rnacentral:rRNA from 1 species